AACGCCCGGGCUUCGGCCUGGUUAUUCAUAACCCUUUGUUGUCCGACUCUGUUGCCUCCGGGGCGACCCUGCCUUCGGGCGGGGGCUCCGGGUGGACACUUCAAACUCUUGCGUAACUUUGCAGUCUGAGUAAACUUAAUUAAUAAAUUAAAACUUUUAACAACGGAUCUCUUGGUUCUGGCAUCGAUGAAGAACGCAGCGAAAUGCGAUAAGUAAUGUGAAUUGCAGAAUUCAGUGAAUCAUCGAAUCUUUGAACGCACAUUGCGCCCCCUGGUAUUCCGGGGGGCAUGCCUGUUCGAGCGUCAUUUCACCACUCAAGCCUCGCUUGGUAUUGGGCAACGCGGUCCGCCGCGUGCCUCAAAUCGUCCGGCUGGGUCUUCUGUCCCCUAAGCGUUGUGGAAACUAUUCGCUAAAGGGUGUUCGGGAGGCUACGCCGUAAAACAACCCCAUUUCUAAGGUUGACCUCGGAUCAGGUAGGGAUACCCGCUGAACUUAAGCAUAUCAAUAAGCGGAGGAAAAGAAACCAACAGGGAUUGCUCUAGUAACGGCGAGUGAAGCAGCAAUAGCUCAAAUUUGAAAUCUGGCGUCUUCGACGUCCGAGUUGUAAUUUGUAGAGGAUGCUUCUGAGUGGCCACCGACCUAAGUUCCUUGGAACAGGACGUCAUAGAGGGUGAGAAUCCCGUAUGCGGUCGGAAAGGCGCUCUAUACGUAGCUCCUUCGACGAGUCGAGUUGUUUGGGAAUGCAGCUCUAAAUGGGAGGUAAAUUUCUUCUAAAGCUAAAUAUUGGCCAGAGACCGAUAGCGCACAAGUAGAGUGAUCGAAAGAUGAAAAGCACUUUGGAAAGAGAGUUAAAAAGCACGUGAAAUUGUUAAAAGGGAAGGGAUUGCAACCAGACUUGCUCGCGGUGUUCCGCCGGUCUUCUGACCGGUCUACUCGCCGCGUUGCAGGCCAGCAUCGUCUGGUGCCGCUGGAUAAGACUUGAGGAAUGUAGCUCCCUCGGGAGUGUUAUAGCCUCUUGUGAUGCAGCGAGCGCCGGGCGAGGUCCGCGCU
rnacentral:rRNA from 1 species